rnacentral:rRNA from 1 species
UACGGAGGGUGCAAGCGUUAUCCGGAAUCAUUGGGUUUAAAGGGUCCGCAGGCGGUCUAAUAAGUCAGUGGUGAAAGCCUACAGCUCAACUGUAGAACUGCCAUUGAUACUGUUAGACUUGAAUUCGGUCGAAGUGGGCGGAAUGUGACAUGUAGCGGUGAAAUGCUUAGAUAUGUCACAGAACACCGAUAGCGAAGGCAGCCCACUAGGCCUGGAUUGACGCUCAGGGACGAAAGCGUGGGGAGCAAACAGG